UCCCGCGGCCGCUUGGGCGCCAGCACUCGGGUCGUGCCCGAGGGAUCCCGUGUCCUGCCCUGCCCCCCCCUUCGACUGAGACUGUGGCUCUCCGAGGCCAAAGCUGUCUGCGUAGUUCCCGGGGACCAGGGCCCCGUGCACCCCAGAAACAGAUGCCCAGCCCAGCGUUGGGGUAGUCGGCUGAGUAGAACAACGCACGGUCUCUCUAGUUGACAGAGAGGACCGUGCGGAGGAGAUGCCCUUAACCAAAGAGUGUGAGUCCCUUUUCUUUUUAAAGGAACAGAGACUCCGGUUCAGUUUUUCCGGCGCCGGGUCUUCGAAAUACUCUUUAUGCUAAUGAACGUAUUAGCAAUCCAGAUGACGGAUGCAGACGGGAUAGGCGGCUGGGACCCGACGGGGCACCAAUCCGGGAGCAAGGCUAAGGGGAGGUCGAAAUGUUUGCUUACCUUUUCACCUUGCAGGAAGUGGGGCUUUAACCCUGUUCACUGCAAUCCUAGUGGAACCAGCUAUGUAAACAUUUAAUGCUUAAGGUUGCAGGAGCUGGCGAGGCUCUGUUUGAUCCAGAGACGAUUUUACAGAUGGAGAAACUGAGUCCCCAGGUACAUCACAGGGAUGGACUUAGAUACCAGCCCUGGGUUCUGGUGGCUCCAUAAUGAUGUGACUUAAUGUGGUUAUUGCCCAAAUGUGAGGAACCGAGACCAAAGGUAACUUUCCUUGGGGUCUACUCUCAGAGAAGGUGAUGGAGAUCCAACACAGGACUUUACACUUGGCUGGGUGAGGGCUCUACUACCAACGUUUAUUCCUGACUCCUGCUUCACAUUUGCUGGGUGAGGGCUCUACUACCAACGUUUACUCCUGACUCCUGCUUCACACUUGCUGGGUGAGGGCUCUACUACCAACGUGUACUCCUAACUCCUGUUUCACACUUGUCAGGGUGUCUCACUGAGUCUGAAGCCGAUUCAACUUAAGAGUCUGGUCAGCAAGUCCCAGGGAUCAUCCUGCCUCUGUCUCCUCAGCACUGGGGGUUUCGGGAUGCACUGCCGUGCCUGGCUUCUAGUGUGAAUUGGGGAAAUUCACAACUCAAGUCUUCAAUGUUUCCAUAGCAAGCACCUUACUGCCUAAGCUCCCUGCUGCCUCCCAUCCCUCUGAGACAGGGUCUGCAUAUGUAUCUCUCUGGUUAUCUAGAACUUAAUAUUGUAGACCAGGCUGGCCUUCAACUCCUAGACAGUCCUCCUGCCUCUGCCUCCUGGGUGCUUAGAGUAUAGGCAUAUAUUAUCAUGCCUAACUUUUGUUUUGUGUUUUGGAGACAGGAUCUCGUGUAGCCCAGCCAACUCUCAACUCUUGCUACAUUGGCCUUGAACUCCUGAUACCUCCUGAGACGGAAUUUCUCAUCCUGUGUCACAUGUUCACGGUGACACAUGCUCAGGCUAUUUCCAUACCGUGGCUUGUUGUGAUUGGUGCUGCAGUGAGCACUUGAGUGCCGAUGUCUUCACUGAGUGAUGGCUUCAUUUUAUUUAUGUACGCACCAGCAGAGGAAUUGUGGAUUUUAUGUGUACAGGUUCUGUUCCCAGACCCUGUCUCUUCAAUGGAGAAAGCAGACUGUGACUCAUCCCUGUUCUCCGGGCCUCCCGAGGGGACUCUGGGAAGGCUGGGACUUCCAAGUAGCCCCUUCCACAGGCGUGCCAGUCCUGCCGAGUUGCAAGCCCGUCCCUAGCGAUGUCACUGAGCCAGCCACUUCUUCCACAUCAGCCGUCCCUGGCCAGUGCCCCUUGCAGCCCACUCCGUCCCUGAGAUGACCAUUGAUGAUACAGCCCUGAGAAUGGCUGUGCCUCAAGAGAGCAUAAAAGGGGGCAAUGGAAGUGAAGACUGGGGUGCAGCAGAAAGGACAUAAAUCACUUUGACCCUUCUGAAGUCACCUCCGGGCAACUAAAUGACAGCAACCCUCUAUUGAAAAAGACUUACACAGCCCAGCACUAAGUAUAAUGGAAGAAAAGCAUUCAAGGCUGAACACAACACUCCUGAGCCCUUCCUUACCUUGAACCUUAUUCCGAUUUCCUAUGGGACUGCUGGACCUUAGUAUUCCUAUCUGUAAAAUGGAAGCUGAAAGGCUGUUGUCUGUCUUUCUUUAGAUUUAUUUUUAUUGUUUUACGUGUAUGCACAUUUGUGCCAGUUUUCACAGCCCAAAAGAGAGCAUCUUAUCCCCUGGAGCUAGAGUUAUGGGCAGUUGUGAGCCGCCCAGUGUGGAUGCUGGGAACCAAUGGCUCUACUGUACGAGCAAUGUGCGCCCUUGAUGGCUGAGCCACCUCCCAAGUCCAGGCUUUUCAGUGUGUCAGAGAUGUCACAGGGUAAGGGGGAGGGAACUUAGAGAAACAGACAACAAAAGACUGCCGUGGACCAGUUGGGGCAUGCUUAGGGUCACCAAGCGUUUGCUGUUUGUCUGGAAUUCAGGUUUUACUGGGUGUUUUUAUUUUUUUCUUCUGACCCAACUCCAGGUCCACUUUGAGGGAUAGAGAAGACCUUGUUCCCUUGCCAGUCUCUGCUGACUGUAGAGACAAAAGCAGAGAAUUUCAGUGUGGGCUUAACGUCACCUAUAUAUGUAGCUUGUAAAACACCCAGAACCAGUUACUUUGUUUGUGUGGGAUUUU